rnacentral:lncRNA from 1 species
GAAUCUCUAUAAUUAUAUAUCAAUAUAUAUUAUACUUAAGUCUUUUAUAAUUGUAUAAUCUCAGUUCAUCCUUCUAUUAAGCCCACCACCAUAAUCACUCUUUAUUUUAAAAAUUAAGAAAAUAACACACUAUAAUACAAGCUUGGCCCUAUUAAAAACUCAUUGUCAAAGAUACAUCCAUGAAAAUGCAAAAUACAGUUCCAGUUGCCUGCUUGCUUCUUUACAUAAUACUAUUCCUUCGCCACAUUUAAUUUAUUCAGAACUUUAUUUGGGAUAAAGUUGGAUUAUUCAAUUUAACGUGAAGCUUUUACCAAACCAAAAUAUACUUUAAUCUCAUUGUCAGACUUUGUGUUCUCCAUGGACACAAAGUUUAGUUGUGCAUCUCAUUUGACAUGGGUGCAAGAGCUUCGGUCAUGGUCCCUUUAUCUGACAUGUGUUUGUCUUGUCCUGAAACGAAAGGAGGACAAUGGGGACAGUUUGGUGGUUGGUAUAUAGGUGGAUGGUAGUAUGGCACGCUUGGGGUGCACCCACCGGUUUGGCAUCCUCCACCAGUACCAAAGCCAGGAACCGUCACUCCCGGAAUCGUAAAACCGGGAAUGUGGGUGCCUGGCACAGUUAUGGGAGGGAUUGUUGUGCCUGGUACAGUUAUGGGAGGGACAACUACACUGGGUACACCAGUAGAGCCACUUCCUCCUCUACCGAUACCAAUCCCUUCCCCUGAACCACUACCUCGUCCAAUGCCUUCACCAAAUCCCCUACCUGGGGCUCCCCUGACAGGACCGCAGUUAGGUUGGCCAUACCCUGACCCUCUUCCUUCUCCAAUGCCAACACCUGAACCAUCACCAUAGCCAAUUCCUUCUCCAAAGCCACUGCCUCCACUAGAGCCAAUUCCUUCUCCAAAACCACUGCCACCACUAGAGCCUAUCCCUUCUCCAAAACCACUGCCUCCACUAGAGCCUAUUCCUUCUCCAAAGCCGCUGCCUCCACUGCCAUAACCAACGCCAUAGCCAUAUCCCAUAGGCUUAACUGUGUGAUCAGGCUUCUCUAUGCCAUCAAUCUUCUCUUUGUCAUUAAGCUUCUCUUUGUAAUUAGGCUUGACUAUAUGAUCAGGCUUCUCUAUGUCAUCAAUCUUCUCUUUGCCACCAUCAUUAAGCUUCUCUUUGUAAUUAGGCUUUACUACAUGAUCAGGCUUCUCUAUGUCAUCAAUGUUCUCUUUGUCACCAUCAUUAAGCUUCUCUUUGUAAUCAGGCUUUACUUUAUGAUCAGGCUUCUCUUUGUCAUCAAUCUUCUCUUUGCCACCAUCAUUAAGCCUCUCUUUGUAAUUAGGCUUUACUAUAUGAUCAGGCUUCUCUAUGUCAUCAAUCUUCUCUUUGUCAGCAUUAAGCUUCUCUUUGUAAUUAGGCUUUACUAUAUGAUCAGGCUUCCCUAUGUCAUCAAUCUUCUCUUUCCCACCAUCAUUAAGCUUCUCUUUGUAAUUAGGCUUUACUUCAUGAUCAGGCUUCUCUAUGCCAUCAAUCUUCUCUUUGUCAGCAUCAUUAAGCUUCUCAUUGUAAUUAGGCUUUACUUUAUGAUCAGGCCUCUCUAUGUCAUCAAUCUUCUCUUUACCACCAUCAUUAAGCUUCUCUUUGUAAUCAGGCAUUACUUUAUGAGCAUGCUUUUUUUCAGGAUCAGGUUCUUCUAGCUCACGCCACAUGGAUUGCAGUUUAUGAUCAGGCUUGACCUUGUCCUCAGGCUCUUCUGGUUCACCCCACCACGCGGACUGCGGAUUAUGGCCAGGCUUGACUUUGUGGUCAGGUUCUAGACUGAACAAGCCAUGAUCUUGCUCCCUCAAACUAACCUUCCCAGGCUUCACUACAUGGUCUAGAUCCUUAAGAAUCCUGCGUGCGAAAGUUGAACUGAAGAAACAUAGUAAGAGGACAAAUCCAAAGCAUUUGCCUUGGUGUCCCUUUGCCAUUUUAUUUUCUAGAAAAUAAGUUGAUUCUGCUGUACAUUCCCGAGUAAAGAACCACCUCAUGGUUUUAUAGUAUAUUAGAUUUUACUUUAAACAAAACACAUCCCUUAAACGCAAAGUGCCUUUGCUGAAAAUACGCAAGAAAUAAAGGGAUUCACAAACUUAGCAUGAAGAAUAUUAAGGAGAUUUUCUGGGAUAACACAAAUUGUAUGUUUACCAACUUCAAGUUUUGAAAACUUAUUAAGAUGAUUUGCCCAACAAGAAAGUACUCCAUCC